UACGGAGGAGGCAAGCGUUAUCCGGAAUUAUUGGGCGUAAAGCGUCCGCAGGUGGCACUUCAAGUCUGUCGUCAAAGACUGGGGCUUAACCCUGGAAAGGCGGUGGAAACUGAAGCGCUAGAGUGCGGUAGGGGUAGAGGGAAUUCCCGGUGUAGCGGUGAAAUGCGCAGAUAUCAGGAGGAACACCGGUGGCGAAGGCGGGUCUCUGGGCAGUAACUGACGCUGAGAAGCGAAAGCGUGGGGAGCGAACAGG
rnacentral:rRNA from 1 species